UAAUGAGACCGGCGCACGGGUGCGUAACGCGUAUGCAAUCUACCUUUUACAGGGGAAUGGCCCAGAGAAAUUUGGAUUAAUGCCCCAUAAUAUAUGUUUUUCGCAUGUUAGACAUAUUAAAGUUCCAACGGUAAAAGAUGAGCAUGCGUCCCAUUAGUUAGUUGGUAAGGUAACGGCUUACCAAGACGAUGAUGGGUAGGGGUCCUGAGAGGGAGAUCCCCCACACUGGUACUGAGACACGGACCAGACUCCUACGGGAGGCAGCAGUGAGGAAUAUUGGACAAUGGGCGCAAGCCUGAUCCAGCCAUGCCGCGUGCAGGAAGACGGUCCUAUGGAUUGUAAACUGCUUUUGUACGGGAAGAAACACUCCUACGUGUAGGAGCUUGACGGUACCGUAAGAAUAAGGAUCGGCUAACUCCGUGCCAGCAGCCGCGGUAAUACGGAGGAUCCAAGCGUUAUCCGGAAUCAUUGGGUUUAAAGGGUCCGUAGGCGGUUUAGUAAGUCAGUGGUGAAAGCCCAUCGCUCAACGAUGGAACGGCCAUUGAUACUGCUAGACUUGAAUUACAAAGAAGUAACUAGAAUAUGUAGUGUAGCGGUGAAAUGCUUAGAUAUUACAUGGAAUACCAAUUGCGAAGGCAGGUUACUAUUUGUGGAUUGACGCUGAUGGACGAAAGCCUGGGGAGCGAACAGGAUUAGAUACCCUGGUAGUCCACGCCGUAAACGAAUGGAUCUUACUUGUUGGGGGNACUUCAUGGCUUAACCGAAAGUGAUAAGUUUNCCNCCUGGGGAGUCCNUUCCCAAGAAUGAAACUUCAAAGGAAUUGGCNGGGGGGCCCCCCCAAACCGGGGGAGCUUGNGGNUUAANUUCAAUGAUCCCCGAGG
rnacentral:rRNA from 1 species